GAUGAACGCUGGCGGCGUGCCUAAUACAUGCAAGUCGAGCGAACAGACGAGGAGCUUGCUCCUCUGACGUUAGCGGCGGACGGGUGAGUAACACGUGGAUAACCUACCUAUAAGACUGGGAUAACUUCGGGAAACCGGAGCUAAUACCGGAUAAUAUAUUGAACCGCAUGGUUCAAUAGUGAAAGACGGCUUUGCUGUCACUUUUAGAUGGAUCCGCGCCGCAUUAGCUAGUUGGUAAGGUAACGGCUUACCAAGGCAACGAUGCGUAGCCGACCUGAGAGGGUGAUCGGCCACACUGGAACUGAGACACGGUCCAGACUCCUACGGGAGGCAGCAGUAGGGAAUAUUCCGCAAUGGGCGAAAGCCUGACGGAGCAACGCCGCGUGAGUGAUGAAGGUCUUCGGAUCGUAAAACUCUGUUAUUAGGGAAGAACAAAUGUGUAAGUAACUAUGCACGUCUUGACGGUACCUAAUCAGAAAGCCACGGCUAACUACGUG
rnacentral:rRNA from 1 species